GCGUCGAACGGACGCGGGAACGCGAAGGUUCGAACUUAGCGGUGUUACAAUAAAGCGCCAGAGCCCCUAUUUAAGGGGAGGAAGCGGGAAGCCAAAAUCCAUCUCGUCGUUUUCUCUCUUCUGCCGGCCCGACUCCAUUUCUAGGGCUUGGUUCUCGUUUUCUCUUCCCUUGCUCUGAUCUCCGGCUUCGAGGAGAUCCGGAGCGGUUCCAGCUCCUGUUCCGAUCUACUGAUUCCGAAAAUCAGAUAAGGAAAAAGUAAAGAGGGAAUCUACCUGCCUGAAUCUUCAGCUUAGAAAGCAAUACAGCACUCCAUGGACAUUUAUGCUACUUUGUUGAAAACUGAGGCAGAAAGCAUUUUGAGUAGUGAUUGAUUGGUACUGCAGCAAUUGGUCUUCGUUUGUUCUCUUCUUUACAAAGUGAAAUUAUAU